GUAGGGAAUAUUGGGCAAUGGAGGCAACUCUGACCCAGCCAUGCCGCGUGCAGGAUGACGGCCCUCUGGGUUGUAAACUGCUUUUAUACGGGAAGAAAAAAUACUACGUGUAGUAUACUGACGGUACCGUAAGAAUAAGGAUCGGCUAACUCCGUGCCAGCAGCCGCGGUAAUACGGAGGAUCCAAGCGUUGUCCGGAUUUAUUGGGUUUAAAGGGUGCGUAGGCGGAUCUUUAAGUCAGUGGUGAAAGCCUGCAGCUUAACUGUAGAAUUGCCAUUGAAACUGAAGAUCUUGAAUGUGGUUAAAGUAGGCGGAAUGUAUCAUGUAGCGGUGAAAUGCUUAGAUAUGAUACAGAACACCGAUAGCGAAGGCAGCUUGCUGAACCAUUAUUGACGCUGGGGCACGAAAGCGUGGGGAGCGAACAGGAUUAGAUACCCGAGUAGUCC
rnacentral:rRNA from 1 species